rnacentral:misc_RNA from 1 species
UUCGAUGACUGGAGUUAC